rnacentral:piRNA from 1 species
GUUACAAAAAAUGUCUGGCCUC